GGUGACCCUAGGGUCCCCCCGCAAUGAUAACUUGUGAACUCGGCCAGGCCCGGAAGGGAGCAACCGCAGCAAGCGACUCGUGUGCCGGGGUGUCGGCUCUAGGGGAACCUCCAAAUU
rnacentral:SRP_RNA from 1 species